UUAGGUCGCCAUGUUGUUUAGUAAUUUGUGCGUCUCUGUUUUGUUUGUGUAUUAAGACGAUUGAAAGAUUAAAACAAAAGUAAAAAAAUGUUCUACGAACACAUAAUAUUGGCCAAAAAAGGGCCGCUAGCCAGAAUUUGGUUAGCAGCUCAUUGGGAUAAGAAAAUUACAAAAGCUCACGUAUUCGAAACAAAUAUAGAAAAAUCUGUGGAAGGUAUUUUACAGCCAAAAGUAAAAUUGGCGCUACGUACCUCAGGCCAUUUACUGCUUGGAGUUGUGCGAAUAUACUCAAGGAAAGCAAAAUAUCUAUUGGCGGAUUGCAAUGAGGCAUUUGUUAAAAUCAAAAUGGCAUUCAGGCCAGGAAUGGUGGACUUACCUGAAGGCCAUAGAGAAGCUAAUGUUAAUGCCAUUACGCUGCCCGAAGUGUUCCACGAUUUUGACACAGCUUUACCCGAACUUAAUGAUAUUGAUAUUGAGGCCCAGUUCUCUGUCAACCAGUCUCGAGCAGAUGAAAUAACUAUGCGAGAAGAUUAUGGAAGUUUGUCGCUGUCCCUGCAGGACGACGGCUUUGGUGACAUUGGAUUUGAGGCGGACACACCUGAAAUGAUGCGUGGCCCAUUGUCAGCAAAUAUAAAUGAUCAGCUUUUCGAUGACGAUGUUCUCACAAAUGUCGUUGAACCAAAUGAUCCAAACAUUACGUUAACACAGUCCGAAAUGCCAAGUGAUCGACUGGAUGGCGAUGGCUUUGGCGACUCCUUUGGACAACCAGCAUUAUUCGAAGAUGAUCUAUUUGGCGAGCCCCCGCAAACAGUUGGCAUUAAUACAGCAAUUAAUGAACCCAACAAUCCGCCAGAUUAUUCGGAUGAUGAUGGUAUCGACAAUUUUAACAACCCUCCAUCGCCGGCAUCUUCCUGUGCCGACUCGGUUCACGACGACAAAGAGGAUAACUUUCAGGCAAAAGAUCAUAGUUUUAAUGAAGACGUCAAUGCAGCUAGUGGGGAUGCAGCAUUAAAUGAUCUUACUCUGGUACAAAAUGACGACGAGGGAUUUGCUCUAGCGCCCAUUGAUGCAACUACUUAUAAGGGUGCCACAAAAGCCAAGCGCAAGCGGAAGCUUAUUAUUGAUGAAAUCAAAAAUAUAUCGGGAGAGGAAAUGAAAGCUCAACUUGCAGAUACAUCCGAUAUACUAACGACACUCGAUCUGGCCCCACCCACAAAGAGAUUGAUGUAUUGGAAAGAAACGGGUGGUGUGGAAAAGUUGUUUGCUCUGCCCUCUCGGACAAUCCCCGCCAGAGUACUACUUAAUAACUAUAAUCGGCAAUUACUUUCACACUCAACGCCCCUGGAGGACUUCUCAGCUAUUGCCCCCAUGGACGUUCUGGCCUUGGAAUUGUACGCACAGGAAGGCGAGAGCUCAGUUAUAAUUGUAAACAAAAAGGGACGUAAGCGUAAGAAUGAUGCCUCUGCAAGUUUAGCUGCUGAUCAAAGUGCAGAUAAUAAUACACUGACUCAGAGCUUGGCAGCGCCCGAAAUGAUUCGUGAGCAGGAGAAAUCGCUGGGCGUUUCGGCUGUAUCGUUAGAUAUUACCACAAAAGAGCACGAAAGCAUUGGACCACAAAAUGAGGCAGCGAUCUUUGAGAAUAUGCGUAGUCCUGCUCUGCUAUCAUUCAAUGACAUGGAGAACUUCUCAAAUCUCAAUGAACUACCCUUGACACCGCGUGAUGGUCACCAAGAUAUGGGAGAUGAUUUCCAUCACGGCGACCUAACACCUGCUGGAUUAGAGCAUGGCCAGAUGACACCACACCAUGGAGGAAUUGGAGACAUUGAUUGUAUGCCAAACCUGCCACCGGACCAAGUCAGCUCGAUAUUCAAUGAGACAGAAGGAAGAAAUAUCUCCGCUGGCAACAACUUCAAUAAGUCAUGCGAUAUUUCAACAGAUUGGAAUGACUACGAUUUUCCACCUUCAGUGGGCAUUCCGAAUGCCACAGCCGAGGAACAAAUGGAAAAUGAAACAGAUGAGCAAUUCGAGGAGCGAGUCCUGAACAAACGAGCCGCGCAGCUUUUCCUUGAUGUCAGAGUUCACUUUAAUAACAAUGAUCAUCUAACACUCUCGCAGCUAACAGUACGAAACUCAAGGAAACAGGCUGCUCAGAAGUUCUACUCGCUGCUGGUAUUGAAAAAGUUCAAAGCUCUGCAUAUAACGCAAUCCGCGCCAUAUGCCGAUAUAACGGUAACGCGUGGUCCUCUGUUCGACAAUCCCAAAUUGUAAAGCCUGCCUGCAUGAUGUUUGAGCAGUGAGAAUCCAAAAUAAAAAUUGUAAGAAAAACCCGUUAUGAUUAUAUGCAAGAUUUCUAAUUAAGUUAAAGAAGUUUUUUAAAUGCAAUUAAUCGUAAUGUUGUAAAAGUAUUGCUGCAUUAAUUAUAUGAUUUACAACCAGUUCAUUUAAAUUAUUUACAAAUAAUUAAACUCUUUUAGGAAUUUUCAAACGAGUGUUAAACAUUUUGUAGUAGUAUUUAAAUAUUUUUGUCGGCUAUAUAGAUUUUUCUAAUUCGCGUUUUCGGUUAGACAAUCUAGGCUUUCAGCUGCUGAACCUCUACAAAUUGUUGGAUCUUAUUCAGGGAACUUCAAGUUAAAUAACUGUUAAUGAGAGACAAGCAAGGAAAGACUCCCAUUACCGCAUUGUAAAGAGCAUUUGAUAUAAGAGAUUUCGUAGUAUAAAUGUUGUUCCAUUGUAACCAGUAGGCCGAGCACAUUUGAAAUAGUUUGUAAUUUUAUAAAAUAUUUAUUCACAUCUUU